GAAGAGCCAUUCACUAGGUGUGUGUCCUGCCUCCCUGAUUCCUGACAUGGCUGUAACUCUUCCUCCAGGCUCUGCUUUUUACCUCCGGGCCUUGCUUUCAGCUCCACUUUGCCUCAAUCUGCUUUUCACUUAGGCCUUUAUUGAUAAUUAUCUUUUUAAUAUACGAUUGCCAAAAUUAAAAGAAAUAUUCCCCCUUUCCUUGUCAAUGAAUUUCUGACUCGGAUGGUCCAAUGCUCGUUUCCUUUAACAGCUGCUGUCUGCUUCUCCUUGUGUCUGAAAGAGGGACCAGGAGAGCAGAGCUCCCUAAGCUAGAGGGACACAAAGCUUUCCUCUCUGUGGUUUGCCCCUUACAUGCUGAGCCAUCCAUCUAUCAGCUUGUCCUUCUCACAGGUAUACUCUUGGUCAUGGCUGGCUCCAGGAGAUUACUUGUCUCGCUACUGAAUUUUCUUUAUAUGUUUUUUUUUAAGUGUGUAUGAAAUUAUAGUCUUGAGCUUUCCUUUUUCAUACACAAACUAAUCAUUAUGAAACCCAAUAAUGAUCCCUGAGGGAAAAACCACAUGGAGCAAAAGAGCUCAGACGUGGAGUGAGGGUGUUGGACAACAGACAUCGUUCUGGGACCUGUGGACACAAUUCUCUCCGGGGGAGUCAUAGCAGGAUUUCAGAGAAACCCACUGGAGAUCAUCUGGUAUCUACACUGAACCAGCAUUCGGUGCCAAUAGAGGCCCAUUGAGCCCCCCAGGAUCACUGCAUUCUUCAGGUGACCCUGGGUGCACUUGGGCUCGUGUGUCCCGGAUCGGCUGCUGCUGUGGCAUUCUACUGGUGCUGAGGGAGAGGGCUGGAGUAAUGCUCGCAUUUGCCUCAUGCAGCCUCGUUGUUUGAUGUGAAACAUGGUUCUUGGGCUGGCAUUUUGCAGCAGCUACGUCAGUUGGUGGCAUAUUUCUGAUACUCUCUUCACGUCUUGCUGUUAACCAGCAGGAAGAUGACCUGAAACAGUGGGAAUUAGAAAGCUGUCCUUUGCUAGUGACAGAAGAGCCAAAGAUGGACAGGGCUCAGGUGGUCCAAAAGAGCUAUCUUCUUUUUGUUUUGUUUUGUUCUGUUUUCUCUUUUUUUUUGAGUGGUUAUGGCCACGCCUGGCUUCCAAGUUUUCAAAAUCCUAGUAGACACAAGAAAACAUUUCUUUUCAGUUUAUUGUGACACACAUAUAAGUCUUCAAAGCACUGUGUGCAGAAUAGUUUCCAAAUAUAAAGCUUGUGAGCAAGGUAGACAUUGCUGAGGUUCAUCUCCUAUGACCCUUUCUGUAGUGAGUAUGGCUGUGCCCUCAGAGAACAGAGACAUGGAGAAGCAUCUGAUUACAUCCAUUUCUCUCCAGGCUGACUCGACUGCCGCCACAAUACAUGGAUGUUGUGUUGCCACAUGGUGUCUACUUGUUGUGAAAUAGAAAUCUUGCUACACUUAAUCAUGUGCAUCCAGUAUGUUUGCUGGAUGACCCUAGGCCCACUGGAAUAUUUCACAACUCAUUCUAGACUUGUUUGGAAGCCUGGCUUCUCUGUUUCAGUCAAUAAAACCUGCAAGUAACCAUUUGCAAAGAAGAAGUGGAAA
rnacentral:lncRNA from 1 species